rnacentral:rRNA from 1 species
AUUGAACGCUGGCGGCAUGCUUUACACAUGCAAGUCGAACGGUAACAUGAAGAAGCUUGCUUCUUUGAUGACGAGUGGCGAACGGGUGAGUAAUGUAUCGGAACGUGCCCAGUAGUGGGGGAUAACUACUCGAAAGAGUGGCUAAUACCGCAUGAGAUCUCUGGAUGAAAGUGGGGGACCGCAAGGCCUCACGCUACUGGAGCGGCCGAUAUCAGAUUAGGUAGUUGGUGGGGUAAAGGCCCACCAAGCCUGCGAUCUGUAGCUGGUCUGAGAGGACGACCAGCCACACUGGGACUGAGACACGGCCCAGACUCCUACGGGAGGCAGCAGUGGGGAAUUUUGGACAAUGGGCGCAAGCCUGAUCCAGCAAUGCCGCGUGCAGGACGAAGGCCUUCAGGUUGUAAACUGCUUUUGUACAGAACGAAAAGGCUCUGGUUAAUACCCGGGGCUCAUGACGGUACUGUAAGAAUAAGCACCGGCUAACUACGUGCCAGCCGCCGCAGUAAAAC